GGGGGAAUGAACAACACGCCGCCAGGAUUACGGUUGCUCAGGCCUCCUACGGUGAUAGGCCAGUUCCACACCUUGUUCUUCGGCUCGGUGCGGAUGUUCUUUCUGGGCGUCCUUGGCUUCGCUGUCUAUGGGAAUGAGGCCCUGCACUUCAGCUGCGACCCUGAUCGCAGAGAGCUCAAUCUCUACUGCUACAACCAGUUCAGACCCAUAACACCUCAGGAAUGACUAAACUAAAAGUAGGGAAAUACAGCUCAUGAUGAAACCAACAUUGUGAACAUUUACACAAACUUGAAGUACUUCAUUUGACACCUGCAUGCCAACAUAAUACCACUGGAUCCUUACUAAUGACACUCACUGAUGGAGGAGACGUCCG